GAUGAACGCUAGCGGGAGGCUUAAUACAUGCAAGUCGUACGGUAACAGGUGUAGCAAUACAUGCUGACGAGUGGCGCACGGGUGAGGAACACGUACGCAAUCUGCCUUUGACUGGAGGAUAGCCCUGGGAAACUAGGAUUAAUACUCCAUAACAUCACGGUGUGGCAUCACAUUGUGAUUAAACUUUCGGGGGUCAAAGAUGGGCGUGCGUUUGAUUAGGUAGUUGGCGGGGUAACGGCCCACCAAGCCUACGAUCAAUAGCUGGCGUGAGAGCGCGACCAGCCACACGGGAACUGAGACACGGUCCCGACUCCUACGGGAGGCAGCAGUAGGGAAUAUUGGACAAUGGCUGAAAAGCUGAUCCAGCCAUCCCGCGUGAAGGCAGAAGGUCCUAUGGAUUGUAAACUUCUUUUCUCUGGGAAGAAAAGGCGGGUUUCUACCUGCUCUGACGGUACCAGAGGGAUAAGCACCGGCUAACUCCGUGCCAGCCGCCGCAGUAAUAC
rnacentral:rRNA from 1 species